rnacentral:rRNA from 1 species
UUGGUGGCGACCGGCGCACGGGUGAGUAACGCGUAUGCAACCUACCUAUCAGGAGGGGAAUAACCCGGCGAAAGUCGGACUAAUACCGCAUAAAACAGGGGCACCGCAUGGUGAUAUUUGUUAAAGAAAUUCGCUGAUAGAUGGGCAUGCGUUCCAUUAGGUAGUUGGUGAGGUAACGGCUCACCAAGCCGACGAUGGAUAGGGGAACUGAGAGGUUGGUCCCCCACACUGGUACUGAGACACGGACCAGACUCCUACGGGAGGCAGCAGUGAGGAAUAUUGGUCAAUGGGCGGGAGCCUGAACCAGCCAAGUCGCGUGGAAAAGGAAGAAGGAUCUAUGGUUCGUAAACUUCUUUUGCAGGGGAAUAAAGUGCAGGACGUGUCCUGUUUUGUAUGUACCCUGAGAAUAAGGAUCGGCUAACUCCGUGCCAGCCGCAGC